UCCUCCCGCAGGGGAGUUUAUCAAAAGUUGCAUGUAAGAGCAGUCUGCAGCCCAGAACCUGUCAAAGCGACCCGUCGUAUCUGUGGCUAAAAUAACUGGGUUUUUACGGAGAGCUGAAGAAAAGGAAAACGAACUUAUUUUCCAUUUGUUCACAAUGGGCCAGGUAUGAUGUCUUCGCCUUGGAUUCUAAAUCUGCAAGUGUAAUUAGUUCUCUUAGAAGGAGGUGGGAGAGAACGCAAGAAAAAAAAGUGCCGCCAAUGAAUGACAUAUCGAUCAGCCCAUAUUCUUCUGACUGCCACAUGAAGCCAAUGAAAGAUACCUGCUGGUGACCAAAUGAUGAUCAUGUAUAAAGCCACCAGGUUCCAGAUGCUAACAGGAUGUGACCAGACUUCCCUGGACAGACAACCCCACCAAUGUUCCUUGGAACUCCGCUUCCCAGAGCCCUUCCCCACUAGAGAAAGAGAGAGACAGUUUGGGAGUUUGCAUCGACCAGUCAAUGCCCAUGUUCAGUGGGGAAGCUAUUACAGAAGCCAGACUUUCAACCUUCUGCAUCCCACGAUGAUCUUAGGUCCAUACUCCCAGAGGGUUAAAGAGUAGGAAAGCUAUCAGGGGAGGGGUUGGUAUAUGGAGGUCUGGUGGUGGGAAUUGUGGGAAACUG